UACGUAGGGUGCAAGCGUUGUCCGGAAUUAUUGGGCGUAAAGAGCUCGUAGGCGGUCUGUCGCGUCGGCUGUGAAAACCUGGGGCUCAACUCCGGGCCUGCAGCCGAUACGGGCAGACUAGAAUUCGGUAGGGGAGACUGGAAUUCCUGGUGUAGCGGUGAAAUGCGCAGAUAUCAGGAGGAACACCGGUGGCGAAGGCGGGUCUCUGGACCGACACUGACGCUGAGGUGCGAAAGCGUGGGGAGCAAACAGG
rnacentral:rRNA from 1 species